rnacentral:rRNA from 1 species
AUUGAACGCUGGCGGCAGGCCUAACACAUGCAAGUCGAACGAGUGGCGGACGGGUGAGUAAUGUCUGGGAAACUGCCUGAUAGAGGGGGAUAACUACUGGAAACGGUAGCUAAUACCGCAUAACAUCAGCUGUGCCCAGAUGGGAUUCGCUAGUUGGUGGGGUAACGGCUCACCAAGGCGACGAUCCCUAGCUGAUCUGCGAGGAUGACCAGCCACACUGGAAAUGAGAAACGGUCCAGACUCCUACGUGAGGCAGCAGUGGGGAAUAUUGCACAAUGGGCGAAAGCAUGAUGAAGACAUGCCGCGUGUAUGAAGAAGGUCUUCGGGUUGUAAAGUAAUUUCAGCGGGGAGGCGUUAACCGCAGAAGAAGCACCGGCUAACUACGUGCCAGCAGCCGCGGUAAUAC